rnacentral:tRNA from 1 species
ACUAUAUUUGGCAGACCCAACCAUUGCAAAAAACUUAGAAUUUUUCUAACCCCCA